rnacentral:rRNA from 1 species
UAUCUCAGUCCGGAUUGAAGUCUGCAAUUCGACUUCAUGAAGCUGGAAUCGCUAGUAAUCGCGGAUCAGCAUGCCGCGGUGAAUACGUUCCCGGGCCUUGUACACACCGCCCGUCAAGCCAUGAAAGGUGGCAGUACCCGAAGUCGCUUCUCUAACCGCAAGGAAGAGUGCGCCGAAGGUAAGGUCAUUGAUUGGGGCUAAGUCGUAACAAGGUAGCUGUAUCGGAAGGUGCGGCUGGAUCACCUCCUUUCUGGAG